AGUGGGAUAGCUGGGUCAAAUGGUGUUCUAUCCCAGUUUUCCAAGGAACUGCCAUACUGCUUUCCAUUUUGGCUGCACCAAUUUGCAAUCCCACCAGCAAU
rnacentral:pre_miRNA from 1 species